UACGGGGGGGGCGAGCGUUGUUCGGAAUUACUGGGCGUAAAGGGUUCGUAGGUGGCCAACUAAGUCAGACGUGAAAUCCCUCAGCUUAACUGGGGAACUGCGUCUGAGACUGGAUGGCUUGAGUGCAGGAGAGGAACGCGGAAUUCCAGGUGUAGCGGUGAAAUGCGUAGAUAUCUGGAGGAACACCGGUGGCGAAGGCGGCGUUCUGGACUGCUACUGACACUGAGGAACGAAAGCCAGGGGAGCAAACGGG
rnacentral:rRNA from 1 species